rnacentral:rRNA from 1 species
CCUACGGGUGGCUGCAGUGGGGAAUAUUGGACAAUGGGCGAAAGCCUGAUCCAGCCAUGCCGCGUGUGUGAAGAAGGCCUUCGGGUUGUAAAGCACUUUCAGUGGGGAAGAAAGCCUUGGGGCUAAUACCCUCGAGGAAGGACAUCACCCACAGAAGAAGCACCGGCUAACUCCGUGCCAGCAGCCGCGGUAAUACGGAGGGUGCGAGCGUUAAUCGGAAUUACUGGGCGUAAAGCGCGCGUAGGCGGUCUGAUAAGCCGGUUGUGAAAGCCCCGGGCUCAACCUGGGAACGGCAUCCGGAACGGUCAGGCUAGAGUGCAGGAGAGGAAGGUAGAAUUCCCGGUGUAGCGGUGAAAUGCGUAGAUAUCGGGAGGAAUACCAGUGGCGAAGGCGGCCUUCUGGACUGACACUGACGCUGAGGUGCGAAAGCGUGGGUAGCAAACAGGAUUAGAUACCCCAGUAGUC